rnacentral:lncRNA from 10 species
GAGUGAACAGGCAACCUACAGAAUGGGAGAAACUUUUUGCAAUCUAUCCAUCUGACAAAGGGCUAAUAUCCAGAAUCUACAAGGAACUUAAAUUUACAAGAAAAAAAUCCCAUUAAAAGUGGGCAAAGGAUAUGAACAGACACUUCUCAAAAGAAGACAUUUAGGUGGCCAACAAAGAUAUGAAAAAAAGCUCAUCAUCAGUGGUCAUUAGAGAAAUGCAAAUCAAAAACACAAUGAGAUACCAUGUCACAUCAGUUAGAAUGGCGAUCAUUAAAAAGUGAGGAAACAACAGAUGCUGGAGAGGAUGUGGAGAAAUAGGAAUGCUUUUACACUGUUAGUGGGAGUGUAAAUUUGUUCAACCAUUGUGGAAGACAGUGUGGCGAUUCCUCAAGGAUCUAGAAAUAGAAAUACCAUUUGACCCAGCAAUCCCGUUACUGGGUAUAUACCUAAAGGAUUAUAAAUAAUUUUACUAUAAAGACACAUGCACACGUAUGUUUAUUGGAGCACUAUUCACAAUAGGAAACACUUGGAACCAACCAAAAUGCCCAUCAAUGUUAGACUGGAUAAAGAAACGGGCACAAACACACCAUGGAAUACUAUGCAGCCAUAAAAAAGGAUGCGUUCAUGUCCUUUGCAGGGACAGGGAUGAAGCCGGAAACCAUUAUUCUCAGCAAACUAACAGGAACAGAAAACCAAACACCACAUGUUGUCACUCGUAAGUGGGAGUUGAACAAUGAGAACAUAUGGACACAGGGAGGGGAACAUCAACAAUGGGGCCUGUCGGCGGGGUAGGGGGCAAGGGGAAGGACAACAUUAGAAGAAAUAGCUAAUGUAGAUGACAGGUUGAUGGGUGCAGCAAACCACCAUGGCACAUGUAUACCUAUGUAACAAACCUGCAUGUUCUGCACAUGUAUUGCAGAACUUGAAGUAUUAAAAAAAAAAAACAGCAGUUGCUUAAUGAAGAUUGUCUAUCAGUUAUUAACACAGACCUUUUUGGGGAUGAUUGCUAACUUUCAGGACCAAAGGCCACUAGGUGAUGCACUCAAAUGACUACUUAAUGCAAUCAAGUGGUUGAAAGAUGCAUUUCUGGAGUCCAUACUGAUGUAGACCAGUUUGGCGUUGAGACUUUGGCUGUAUUUUUGGCUAGUUUCCAUUCACAAAAUAUACCUAGCUGUUUACAAGGGGACUCAGUGACAGUACAAGAAUCUAAGUGUAAAUUCAGUGUUAAACAGAAAAAUGACUCAAGCCAGUGAAACACAUUUUUGUGUAUGAUUAGUAAUUUAUACUCAGCUUGGUCAUUGGCCUAAAUUUUGUAAUUCUUACUGAAAAGAAACUGUAUUAGUCUGUUUUGCAUUGCAAUGAAGGAAUACCUGGGACUGGUUACCUUAUAAAGAAAACGUUUAUUUGACUUGCAGUUCUGCAGGCUGUAAAAACAUGGCACCAGCAUCUGCUCAGCUUCUGGUGAGGUCUCAGGGAGCUUUUACUCAUGGCAGAAGGCACGGGGGGAGAAGGCAUGUCACACAGAGAAGGAGCGAGAAAGAGAGGAGGUGGUGGUGCCAAGUUCCUUUUAACAACCAGCUCUUGCAGGAAUAAACACAGCAGGAACUCAUUACCACUGGGGAAGGCACAAAGCCAUUUAUGAGGGAUCAGCCCCCAUCACCCAAACACCUCCCACCAGGCCCCAUAUCCAACACUGGGGAUCAUAUUUCAACAUGAGAUUUGGAGGGGACAAAUACUCAAACCAUAUUACAAACUUCUUCACUAGAAGAAUUUGGGUAUAUGUAAGUAAGUUUUCAGUAUAUGUGUAAAGUAGAAUAUUAUCAGAAAGGUUAUUUACUUUUCAUCUUCAUUAUCAAUUUUCUAUAGGUAUCAUAAAAAUUUAAAAUGCAUUUUGUUAAUUUAAUCUUUUAUUAUUUCUUAACAGUCACAAUGGAAUAAAUGUGCCUACUUUAAGACAUCUAUCUGGUUUUGUUGGCAGAUUUAAGGACUAACACUAGACUAAAUAUUACACAAAUAUUCUAUUCGAGAAUGAAAGGCUCUUGCCAUUACUGAUCAU